GACGAACGCUGGCGGCGUGCUUAACACAUGCAAGUCGAACGGAAAGGCCCUGCUUGUGUGGGGUGCUCGAGUGGCGAACGGGUGAGUAACACGUGAGUAACCUGCCCUUGACUUUGGGAUAACUUCAGGAAACUGGGGCUAAUACCGGAUAGGAGCUCCUGCUGCAGGGUGGGGGGUGGAAAGUUUCGGCGGUUGGGGAUGGACUCGCGGCUUAUCAGCUUGUUGGUGGGGUAGUGGCUUACCAAGGCUUUGACGGGUAGCCGGCCUGGGAGGGUGACCGGCCACAUUGGGCCUGCGAUACGGCCCAGACUCCUACGGGAGGCAGCAGUGGGGAAUAUUGCCCAAUGGGCGGACGCCUGAUGCAGCAACGCCGCGUGCGGGAUGACGGCCUUCGGGUUGUAAACCGCUUUCGCCUGUGACGAAGCGUGAGUGACGGUAAUGGGUAAAGAAGCACCGGCUAACUACGUG
rnacentral:rRNA from 1 species